ACCAGGUUCUCCAAAGCUUCUUGUUCCGGAGGCUGGGUCUCCAGUGUGGCAAUGUUGAGGUGGUAGAACCUUUAAAGGGUAGGGCUCAGUAGGAGUUGAUUAGGUCAUUGAGAGCAUCAACCUUGGAAGACACAAGCUAUGUUCUGGAAGGACCACAGCUGGUUUCAUCGGGAGUGAAUUGUUAUAAAAAGAGCAAGUCUGGCCCCUGCAUCUCUCUGGCUUCCUGUCGUGCAUUGAGAUUGCUUCUGCAGGUGCCACUACUGUUGCAACGUGAUCUGCCACUAGGUCCUUACCAGAGGCCAAAUAGUUUUGGGAGGAAGAGGAGGCUUCAUCUUGGACUUUCAGCCUCAAAAACCAUGAGCUGGGUUAACCACUUUUCGUCAUGAAAUACUAGGCUCAGGUAGAGAGGACAGAUGGAGAGAAAUCUUCUAUCCUUUGGUUCACUCUUCAAAUGCCUGUAACAGCUAAGGCUGGGUCAGGCCAAAGUCAGGAGCCUGAAACGCCAGCCCACCGCGGUCCCUGUGUGACUGGCAGCAAUGCACAGACUUCUCCCAUCAUCUGCUGCCUUCCAGGAUGCGCGUCAUCAGGAAGCUGAAUUGGCAGUCACCAGUCACCAGUGACUAUGAGCAUGUGAAAUGUGACCAGUCCAAACUGAUGUAUGCUGCAGAUACAAAACACACACUAAAUAUGUAAGACUUCAUAGGAAAGAAAGAAUGUAAAAUAGCU